AUUGAACGCUGGCGGCAGGCCUAACACAUGCAAGUCGAACGGUAACAGGAAGCAGCUUGCUGCUUUGCUGACGAGUGGCGGACGGGUGAGUAAUGUCUGGGAAACUGUCCGAUGGAGGGGGAUAACUACUGGAAACGGUAGCUAAUACCGCAUAACGUCGCAAGACCAAAGAGGGGGACCUUAGGGCCUCUUGCCAUCGGAUGUGCCCAGAUGGGAUUAGCUAGUAGGUGGGGUAACGGCUCACCUAGGCGACGAUCCCUAGCUGGUCUGAGAGGAUGACCAGCCACACUGGAACUGAGACACGGUCCAGACUCCUACGGGAGGCAGCAGUGGGGAAUAUUGCACAAUGGGCGCAAGCCUGAUGCAGCCAUGCCGCGUGUAUGAAGAAGGCCUUCGGGUUGUAAAGUACUUUCAGCGGGGAGGAAGGGAGUAAAGUUAAUACCUUUGCUCAUUGACGUUACCCGCAGAAGAAGCACCGGCUAACUCCGUG
rnacentral:rRNA from 1 species